rnacentral:tRNA from 1 species
GGUUGAUUAGCUCAGAUGGUUAGAGCGCUUGCCUCACAUGCAAGAGGUCGCUGGUUCGAAUCCAGCAUCAACCA